CCUUUCAUAAAAAUUAGUGGUAUGAUUCUCGCUUUGGGUGCGAGAGGCCGUGGGUUCGAUUCCCACUGGUCCCC